UACGUUCCCGGGCCUUGUACACACCGCCCGUCACACCACGAAAGUCGGCAACACCCGAAGCCGGUGGCCCAACCCUUGUGGAGGGAGCCGUCGAAGGUGGGGUUGGCGAUUGGGGUG
rnacentral:rRNA from 1 species